rnacentral:rRNA from 1 species
UACGGGGGGAGCAAGCGUUGUUCGGAUUUACUGGGCGUAAAGGGCGCGUAGGCGGCCAGCACAAGUCAGUUGUGAAAUCUCCGAGCUUAACUCGGAAAGGUCAACUGAUACUGUGCGGCUAGAGUGCGGAAGGGGCAACUGGAAUUCUUGGUGUAGCGGUGAAAUGCGUAGAUAUCAGGAAGAACACCUAUGGCGAAGGCAGCUCUCUGGGACGGUACUGACGCUGAGACGCGAAAGCGUGGGGAGCAAACAGG